UGUUUAUAGGUUUUGGGUUCUGUAAGGGAACUAAUGGAUAGGCAAAACUGUUUGUGACAUGGACUACAUUUGUCAUAGGAUAGGACAGAAGAAAGAGGGUAAGGAGAGUUACCUGGAUUAGAUGCUGGCAGCAUUGAGGAUAGCAAAUUGCAGUGAUAUUCAGAGAGAUAAGCUGGUGGUUUUGUGAGUCUGUUAGAUUUUCU
rnacentral:lncRNA from 1 species